rnacentral:tRNA from 1 species
GGGCCCGUGGUAUACCGGUAACACACGUCUAUGGCAUAGACGGGUAGGGGGUUCGAUUCCCCCCGGGUCCA